UAUAGAGAGUACAUCAACACAUACUACGUGCUUGGUCUCAUCUGAUCUCAGAAGCUAAGCAGGGUCAGUCCUGGUUAGUACUUGGAUAGGAGCCAUAGUCUCUUCAACAA
rnacentral:rRNA from 1 species